rnacentral:lncRNA from 1 species
GGCGGCGAUGGAUGGAUGGAGGAGGUGGAUCCGGCCGGGGGGUGAGGGGUGGGGGCGGCGGCGGCAGUCGGGCGCGAGAGAGAGAGGGGAAGAGACAGUGGGCGAGAGACUGAGAGAGAAAGAGAGCGUGGGUUUUGGGGGGUUUUAUUUUUUUUUAAGCGCAAUUUGCCGGCAGCCUCAAAAACAGCCGACGGCCCGACAAAAAGCCGGCGGCAAAGAAGUCUUUGCCGGCGGCCCUAAAAAAAGCCGCCGGCAAAUAAUUUUUCCUUUUUGUUUUUUCCAGUCUUUAUUUUAAUUAUUCACUAAAAACUGGUGUUUUCCUGUCACUUUAGACUUCCUUUUUGUUCUAUUAGGACAUUUGAACAUGAAAAACCAAAAAUCUACCCAAUUCCUCAAAGAAUUCUGCUCCGUCCGUCCGAAUUACGACUUUUCCCCUCUUAAGUCCGGAACUUCCGUGCGGGUCACUCCAGUUUGUGAAGGAAGUGCAACCUCAGAUACUUGGAUUGUGUUUUCCUCUUAACACCAUCUUUAUGUACCCAUUUGAUGACAUCAUCCAAGAUUUCAAGUUCUCUAGACCAUUCGUCAUGUGAUUUGAGGCAUCGCCCCCUCCUACGGGCCUCGUGGCGUCUACAGGGUAGCUUUUCACCAAAACAUUGGUUUUCCUGAUAUUUUGCUCUUACUUAGUGUUUUAUUACCACAUGGGCACAUGUAAAACAAAAAAUCUACCCCAAGCCCUCACAGAAUUCUUCUCCCUUGGUCCGAAUUGCGUGUUUUUCUCACUCUGGAAGCUUGGGUUUUAAUGUUCCUUAGUGUUUUGUUACUAGUUUUUCACCAAAACUUGGGUUUUCAUGUCACUUUACUCUAUCAUAGUGUUGUAUUAGGACAUGUCAACAUGAAAAAGCAAACAUCUACCCCAUGGACCGACUAAAUUAUGUUCUGUUGGUCUGAAUUGAGACUUUUCCCCUCAAGUGUGG